UACAGAGGUCCCAAGCGUUGUUCGGAUUCACUGGGCGUAAAGGGUGCGUAGGCGGUCGGGUAAGUCUGAUGUGAAAUCUCACAGCUUAACUGUGAAACUGCAUUGGAUACUAUCCGGCUUGAGGAAUGGAGGGGAGACUGGAAUACUUGGUGUAGCAGUGAAAUGCGUAGAUAUCAAGUGGAACACCUGUGGCGAAGGCGGCCCCCUGGUCGGAUACUGACGCUGAGACGCGAAAGCGUGGGGAGCAAACAGG
rnacentral:rRNA from 1 species